UUAUUGUUCACUGUAUCUUUUAUUGGUUUACACUUUUCGUUUUACUCAUUACUUCAUGCUUCAAGCCCUACAGUACCAGGCAGCUUUAUAUACACGAGCAGAUACUUAGUGACCCCUGCUUUGGAUGUUGUGUGUGUUGGGACAGAUAUUGCACUUGCAGAGCUCUGGAGGAGAGAGGCACAGCCACGGCAGCAGGAAUCGCAGCUGCUCUUCAGCAGUCAGCGGCAGGGCCUCAGGCACGAACAUGCGCUGCUGCGUCCCCAAACACCCAGGGCUGCUUUGUCUUCCUGGAGAUGUGACUUACACCUGCCCCACCACAGCCACUGUGCAGGCACUGUGGCUGCCGGGAGAAGACCCGAAGGAGCAGCGAAGCUAUGGGUGACGAUCAGAAGGUGCUGCAGAAAUUCCUGCUGCCCAUCUCUUCCACGGCAGCAGAGGGCUAAGUGGCCAUGCGUAGUGUAUGCACGUGCUAUUUUUUUUCUCCUUCCCAUGGUUUAUGGCCCUGAGUAAUAUGAGAAGCUGGGCAAAAAGAGAUGAAAAAAGUAGAA